CCUCUUAAUUCACCUUUGGUGAUGAUGACUUGUGUGAGAAUUCUCUCCCUUCUCUUUUUCGAUUGUCCUAUUACAGCUAACUUGAGAAACCUGCUGAUGUAUAUUUGGCAAUAGCAACAUAAGAAAUAGGUCAUGGAAAUAAACCCUUAACCUUCCCCCUUUUUAACAUUCUUAGAUUGAUAAAAGUUUAUUAUUUUCUUGUUAUAAAGAACUGGGUACCACAUGUGAAGAGGAUUGCUGAAUCCGUGUAGAAGGGGUAAGUGGUGUGGAGAUAGGAUCCUCCCUGUACAGACUCAUAUUAGUAAGAUUCCAGCCUGCAUCAGUAUCACCAUCAAACAUAAACCCCUGACCUCAUCUCAUACCUGGCAGCUACAGACUAAGUAACUAGAGUUUCUUGCUUUAUUGAUAAAGAGAAAUUAUCAGAGAUUCUAGUGUCCCACUUUGUGCCUCUCUGUGAUAUCCUCCUACUCCACUAGCUAACCAUUUGCUAGCUACAAUUUCUGUUUUCUCAGCCAAGAAAAUGAAAGAGUUGCAAAGAAGGCAAAUCCUUAUGUUUCCUUGAAAUUAGUUAUAUUCCUAAGUAAGAACCUGUUUCUUAAAAUAAGCAAUUUUUAUAUUAAUGCAAGGGCUUUUUCCCCUUAAAAGUAAAGAGGUUAUAUAAUCAACAUAAAACAUUUUUAAAAUAUUGUCACAUGACUUUAAGAAUUGUAUGUAUUGAGAUGGGACCAUAAAACUUUUAGUACCUGAAAUAUUUUUAAUGGUGAGCUAUCUCGAAACGUUUCCAAGUAGAGCAAGCAGGUGUCACACUAAAGAGACUAUUCAGACUACUGUGAGGCACAUACAUUUUGAAGCAUUUUAUAUAUAUAUAUUUCUUUUUUUACUAGGAUUGAUUGAUAGUUGUUUAAAACAGUAAUACAGGCUCCUUUCCAUCUUAAAGGGUAGCACUAACUACUUUGAUUCUUUCCUCUUGAUUAUUCUGGGAAGAGAUUGUUGUUUCCUAUAUUAGUCUAAUAAAUGCCUCAGAAAAGUAAAAGGUACAAUUACUCGUUCAGAUCAAUAGAAUCAUUUCAUUUUCUAGUUUAUGUAGAGCAGAAAAUUGUUAAUUAUUGAGUACCAUAAAUGAUAAGAACACAAUGAGGCAGAUGGAAUUAAUUUUAUGAAAAAUUCUGUUGAAUUUUAAUACUCAGUUAAUGAUUCGUGUGGUAUGUGUAUUUAAUAAGGCUUGACAAUAAUUAAGGACUGAACUCUGACAUAGAAAGAAAGCACUUGAUUGACAGAGAGGAGACCUUGUCUUAGUUGUGGUUCUGCUGUUAACACAGUAUGACUUUGGGUAGGUCAUUAGGCCUCAGAUAUUCUCCUUUUGAAGUGGAGUUAUUUUAUUCCACAUAUCAUAAGCACUUGCUAUAUGCCAAACACUGUGCUUUUAGGAUUAAGAAAAACAGGAAAUGAUUGAGUGUAGUCUAUAGGGGAAGGCAGCAUGAUCCUCAGUUACUGGAAACUUCCUACAACUCUGAUUGUUCUGUAUAUUCUCAGGGAUUUUGGGGGAUGGUAAUGUCCUUGAAGCAUUCUUCAUGUGAUUAUCUUCUUGAUGAUGUUCUUGACAACCCACAUAUUGUGAAUGUAGGAAGUAAGGAACCUAUGACUAGUGAUAGUACAUACAGUUUUUCAGAGCUGGUGUUUAAUAACAAUGUUUUUCAUUCUAAUAUUACAUUAUUCUUUUUAUCAUUUAGGUCUUUAUCCAUCAGUGUUGUUAGAGAACUACUGUACUUGACCACAAACUUAUAAAUACUUGGUACUGCCACAUCUCACUGUUAUGUUUACUUUGUCUUAAAUAUCUCUCUUUUUUUUUUUUU